rnacentral:misc_RNA from 1 species
AACCUAGCACACCUGCGGUGUGUACCUGCGGAGGGAUCAUUAUCGAGUUGCAAAACUCCAACCCUUUGUGAACAUACCUCAGUCGUUGCUUCGGCGGUGGACGGCCUGUUUUUCGGAACGGCCGGAAGCCGCCGGAGGUUCCAAACUCGUAUUUUUUAGUGUAUCUCUGAGCCUGAAAACAAAUAAUCAAAACUUUCAGCAACGGAUCU